rnacentral:rRNA from 1 species
AUGAACGCUGGCGGCGUGCCUAAUACAUGCAAGUCGAGCGAACAGACGAGGAGCUUGCUCCUCUGACGUUAGCGGCGGACGGGUGAGUAACACGUGGGUAACCUACCUAUAAGACUGGGAUAACUUCGGGAAACCGUAGCUAAUACCGGAUAAUAUUUUGAACCGCAUGGUUCAAAAGUGAAAGACGGUCUUGCUGUCACUUAUAGAUGGAUCCGCGCUGCAUUAGCUAGUUGGUAAGGUAACGGCUUACCAAGGCAACGAUGCAUAGCCGACCUGAGAGGGUGAUCGGCCACACUGGAACUGAGACACGGUCCAGACUCCUACGGGAGGCAGCAGUAGGGAAUCUUCCGCAAUGGGCGAAAGCCUGACGGAGCAACGCCGCGUGAGUGAUGAAGGUCUUCGGAUCGUAAAACUCUGUUAUUAGGGAAGAACAUAUGUGUAAGUAACUGUGCACAUCUUGACGGUACCUAAUCAGAAAGCCACGGCUAACUACGUG